AUAAUACGGAUGGCUAGUUUUAUAUAUUAAAGUCCUGUAAGAGAACGGUUAUUUGUUUUGAAGUGAAUUUAAAACAUACUAAAAGGAAAUAAUUUUCUUCAAAAUAUAUCACAGGACUUGUAAAAUUAUACUCAAGGAUAAAAAAUCAUGAGUGAGCAUGUUAAAUCGUUUAUUGUGAAACAUGGAAACGAGAAGGUGCAGAUUGCUCACAAGUCACCAGAGAAGUUUAUUGAACGAUGCAAACAUAAUUUUCGAAUUGAUGAUAAGACUACAUUGACGUUUAAACUACCAGAUAGCGAGAUCAGUGUUGACAUAGAAAGCAUUGAAAUAUUGCCUAAUAAAUCGGAGUUGCAUCUGACCCCUAUAUGCAAUAUUGAAUCCGAUUCGUCAGAUACAGAGGAAGGACAAGUGAAAAAAUAUUCACGUAA